AUAAAGUUUGAUUAUUUCUUUAUUUCUUGUGAUUAAUAUUGAAGUUGUAUGAAAGUUAAAGCGAGGAGCUAAUAAAAAUUUAAGAUUAUUAUUAUCAUUUAGAAUAUAGUUAUACUAUAAGCAGAUAAUCUCAGCAUAUAAUGUUAGACAAUUUAAUAAUUUAAGAUCUAGCAAUAGGUUAAAGCUUGAUCAAUAUUGUGCCAGCAGUCGCGGUUAUACUUUAAAGUUAAAUAAGAAAUAUUGGGCUAUUGUUAAGCGAGAAUUAAGUCUUUUAAUUGUCAAAAAUCUGGAAGAAUAAAAAAGUGAAAUUGGAUUUUCUUUUUAUAGAAUUAUGAGCAAUGAUCAAUAAAAGCUGAAGCAAUAAAAUGCUGGAUUUAAACUAGGAUUAGAUACCCUACUAUACCAGAGAGUAAUUAAUAAAAGCCUAAGUAGUAAUAGUUAUGUCCUAAAAAUUUGAAGAAUUUGGCGGUGAUUUAGUCUAGUCAGAGGAACCUGUUUUUGAAUCGAUAAACCACGAAUAAUCUUGCUCAAUUUUGUAAAGUAUGUAUACCAUCAUUAUUAGGUAAUUUUUAUAGAAUAAAUUACUGAAUUUGCUAAUAAUGUUAAAUAUAUUAGAUCAAGGUGCAGCUUAUAGUUGAGUUAAAAUGGGUUACAAUAAGUUUUAUUUAUCACGGAGAUAUAGUUUAAACACUAGUUAUGAAGGAGGAUUUGAUUGUAAGAUAAGUUUAACACGCUUGUUAGAUAUAAGCUCUAAAUCAUGUACAUAUCGCCCGUCGCUUUCAUUUUAAGAUGAGAUAAGUCGUAACAAAGUAGACUUACUGGAAAGUGAGUCUGGAUAGGAUA
rnacentral:ncRNA from 1 species